GACGAACGCUGGCGGCGUGCCUAACACAUGCAAGUCGUGCGAUUGAGAGGUGAGCAUCUCACUUCUCAAGAGCGGCGGACGGGUGAGUAAUGCGUGAACAAUCUACCGGCAAGACUGGGACAACACCGGGAAACUGGUGCUAAUACCGGAUAAUCUCCACCGGCGGCAUCGUUGGUGGAGGAAAGUCGGCCUCUGGAUAUGCUGGCGCUUGUCGAUGAGUUCACGUCCCAUUAGCUUGUUGGUGGGGUAACGGCCCACCAAGGCGACGAUGGGUAGCCGGCCUGAGAGGGUGGUCGGCCACACUGGGACUGAGACACGGCCCAGACUCCUACGGGAGGCAGCAGUGGGGAAUCUUCCGCAAUGGGCGCAAGCCUGACGGAGCGACGCCGCGUGAGGGACGAAGGCCUUCGGGUUGUAAACCUCUUUUCUGGGGGAAGAACGUCCGGCCUGUUAAUAGCGGGUUGGGUUGACGGUACCUCAGGAAUAAGCCCCGGCUAACUACGUGCCAGCAGCCGCGGUAAUACGUAGGGGGCGAGCGUUGUCCGGAAUCACUGGGCGUAAAGGGCGCGUAGGCGGCUUGAGAAGUCGCAGGUGAAAUCCCGCGGCUCAACCGUGGAACUGCCUGCGAAACCAUUGGGCUUGAGGACAGGAGAGGGAAGCGGAAUUCCUGGUGUAGCGGUGAAAUGCGUAGAUAUCAGGAGGAACACCAGUGGCGAAGGCGGCUUUCUGGCCUGGUCCUGACGCUGAGGCGCGAAAGCUAGGGAGCAAACAGGAUUAGAUACCCUGGUAGUCCUAGCUGUAAACGAUGGGCACUAGGUGUUGGGGGGUUCAUACCCUUCAGUGCCGUAGGUAACCCAAUAAGUGCCCCGCCUGGGGAGUACGGUCGCAAGACUGAAACUCAAAGGAAUUGACGGGGGCCCGCACAAGCGGUGGAGCAGUGGUUUAAUUCGAUGCAACGCGAAGAACCUUACCAGGGUUUGACAUGUCGGUGGUACGGAGUGGAA
rnacentral:rRNA from 1 species